rnacentral:rRNA from 1 species
UACGGAGGAUCCAAGCGUUAUCCGGAUUUAUUGGGUUUAAAGGGUGCGUAGGUGGCUUAUUAAGUCAGGGGUGAAAGACGGUAGCUUAACUAUCGCAGUGCCUUUGAUACUGAUGAGCUUGAAUGAACUAGAGGUAGGCGGAAUGAGACAAGUAGCGGUGAAAUGCAUAGAUAUGUCACAGAACACCAAUUGCGAAGGCAGCUUACUAAAGUAUGAUUGACGCUGAGGCACGAAAGCGUGGGGAUCAAACAGG